rnacentral:tRNA from 1 species
AGAAAAAUAAGCUAAUAUAAGCUAAUGAGUUCAUACCUCAUCAAUGGAAUAUAUUUCCUUUUUCUA